rnacentral:rRNA from 1 species
GAUGAACGCUGGCGGCGUGCCUAAUACAUGCAAGUCGAGCGAACAGACGAGGAGCUUGCUCCUUUGACGUUAGCGGCGGACGGGUGAGUAACACGUAGGUAACCUACCUAUAAGACUGGGAUAACUUCGGGAAACCGGAGCUAAUACCGGAUAAUAUUUCGAACCGCAUGGUUCGAUAGUGAAAGAUGGCUUUGCUAUCACUUAUAGAUGGACCUGCGCCGUAUUAGCUAGUUGGUAAGGUAACGGCUUACCAAGGCAACGAUACGUAGCCGACCUGAGAGGGUGAUCGGCCACACUGGAACUGAGACACGGUCCAGACUCCUACGGGAGGCAGCAGUAGGGAAUCUUACGCAAUGGGCGAAAGCCUGACGGAGCAACGCCGCGUGAGUGAUGAAGGUCUUCGGAUCGUAAAACUCUGUUAUUAGGGAAGAACAAAAGUGUAAGUAACUGUGCACGUCUUGACGGUACCUAAUCAGAAAGCCCCGGCUAACUACGUG